UUUACAAAAAGACUAGAUGACAGGUAUCCCCCAUCACCCGAACAUAAGUGGGUGCACAACAGUCGUGAAACCUGCUGGGGUAUCACAGUUAAGUAAGGGGAAAAUAGAAGCAACAGUGUAGACACCAGAGGGCACUGAGCAUGCUCAGUACAGUAUCAGAGAGAGCGGAUAUACCCGCCCCCUUCCCAGGAGAUCCCCACGCAUGCGCGAGUUCAGGGGCCAGAUGAGGACCCAGAGGAGAGCUCUGAGCUGGUGUGGUGCUGAAGCUGACGAAAAUCUGCAGCAGAAACGUGGAAGAACUUAGCUAACUCCACCGGUAAGCGAGGCCGAGGUCCAAAGUAAGGUGUGCAUGACUUUGAAUUCUUACACUGGGUCGCCAGGACUCCAUUGCCCACAAAGGACAUCAACUAUACAGAGUGGAAUGAAAAGAGUGUUCCAGAACUCUCUUGGAGGACUCUUUUACUAAAGAACCAGCUUCAGAAAUCAAGGAAGCAAAGCCUCUGAGUUGAGCCUUGGAAUGACUGUAAUCCAGAUGGGCACCUUGAUUGCUGCCUGUGGAAGACCCUGGCCAGAGGACCUAAAUAAGUUACAUAGGACUCCUGACUUCUAGAAGUUGGGAUGAUAAAUGCUGGUUGGGGAUGGGAACAUUGCAACAUAUGUAUCCUUCUGGAGAGGAAAAGCAUUACCUAUCAGUCUGAAGAGGAGCACUGUUUAAGGAGCCAAAAGGUGUGCUUUUAGAGAUAUCUCUUCCCAGGCAAUGAUUCACACUACCACUUCCUCCACAUUACUCAGAGAGAGAGAGCAAAAAGAGUUUGGGCAGCUGUUGCAUCUGUGACUUUUGCUGAAGUAAGCUUGCAUGGUUCCAUGCAGCAAGUUGGCCCCUUGGAAAGGACCAUGUGUAAGGAACUAUGAGUGCUCUUUGGCCAACCACCAGUGAGAAACUGAGGCCCUCAGUCCACAGCUUGCAGAGAACAGAUCCUUCCAACAACCAUGUGAACUUAGAAGUGGGUCUCUCUCCCCAGUUAAUCCUAGAUGAUUACAUCCCAAAUGAGCCCAAGAUUGCAGCCCAUAGCAGACCCUUAAACACAGCGCCGAGCAAAGCCAUGCCUGGAUCUUGACCUGAGAUACUUACAUAAUGUGUGUAUUAACAAGGGUAUGGUGACACCCAUAAAUAAUGGGAGGGGGGGUUUACAAAUGUUAAGACCAUGGAUUUUUUUAAUUCUCCAUGUCUUCAUUCAUGUUCAACAAUAAAACAUAGAACUGUAUCAUCUGGACUAUGGUAUUACUGGCAGCAAAAGGGUGUACUUCUGUGUCUCUGAAGAGCACACUUCAUAAAUUUUUAUAAGUAGUUUUGUAAAUGCAAAGCAUGUGCAAAGCUAAAAUGUUCAAGUUCUUAUUUUUCAAACUGGCAGAAGACCAGUCAAAUUAAGGCUCUAAAUGGAAACCUCAGAAAUUAAGACAGGGGUUAGCCGUCGUAUUUUAAUGCAUUCUUGCUACCAUUUUUUUCAACUGUAAAACCAUUCCUAAUACUUGAGCUUACAGAGAAGAUCUUUGGCACUGUGGCCAGAAACAUAAAAUCUAAAACAACAACACAAACAAAAUGAAGUAUGGCCAAACCAAAUCAAAUUACCUUAUUCUGCCAAGUGCAAAAAUCGAUACCUUCCUUAUUGUGAAAAUACCUCAUUAAUGAAUAUUUCUAUGAUUUUGCAUUUUGUUAAAGAAACAUUAAGUAGAUAAGGGAUCAGAGUUCCUCAUUGGAAGAAAUAGAAAUGCUGAGAGAAAAUGUAUAAGAACAAUUCCUUUGUGACACUGGAGUUCUAACAAGGCAAGAAGAAUUAAAGGACCAAAAACCAGGAAGAGAUAGAAACACCAAGAAGUAAACCCAAUAUUUGAGGCUGCUUUUCUCCUAGGCUUAGAGGCAUCAAUAGAUUCUCUUAGAGACAAACUGAGCAGAACUUUUGAUAAAUUAACAAUUCUGAGGAACAGAAAUUCAUCUAUGGUGGCCAAAUCAGAAGCCCUAGAAAACCUCUAUCACUUGAAUUAGGAACUCCAGAGGGCUAUACCACAGAAGAAAAAGUAAACCAGAACUGGAGAUUUCCCAGCGGAGGUUGACACUCAAAUUUGAACUCUCUCAAUCAGUAACUGGACUAAGGUGAUCACCAAUUGACAGUACCCCAGCCACUGGUCUAAAUCAAACAGAAACCCUUAGAGAUUCACUUUUGGGUAAGAGGGAGCAUUUCAAUGCAGA